rnacentral:rRNA from 1 species
CCUACGGGUGGCUGCAGUGGGGGAUAUUGCACAAUGGGGGGAACCCUGAUGCAGCGACGCCGCGUGGGCGAUGGAGUGCUUCGGCAUGUAAAGCCCUAUCAGCAGGGAAGAAAAUGACGGUACCUGACUAAGAAGCCCCGGCUAAAUACGGGCCAGCAGCCGCGGUAAUACGUAUGGGGCAAGCGUUAUCCGGAUUUACUGGGUGUAAAGGGAGCGUAGGCGGCCUGGCAAGCCUGAUGGGAAAUACCGGGGCUCAACCCCGGGGCUGCAUUGGGAACUGCCAGGCUGGAGUGCCGGAGAGGCAGGCGGCAUUCCUCGUGUAGCGGUGACCUGCGUAGAUAUUAGGCGGCACCCCAGUGGCGCCGGCGGCCUGCUGGACGGUGCCUGACGCUGCGGCUCGACCGCGUGGGGAGCAAACAGGAUUAGAUACCCCUGUAGUC